rnacentral:rRNA from 1 species
CCUACGGGAGGCAGCAGUGAGGAAUAUUGGUCAAUGGGCGCAAGCCUGAACCAGCCAAGUCGCGUGAGGGAAGACGGCCCUACGGGUUGUAAACCUCUUUUGCCGGGGAGCAAGCCUGAGCACGUGUGCCCAGGCGGAGAGUACCCGGAGAAAAAGCAUCGGCUAACUCCGUGCCAGCAGCCGCGGUAAUACGGAGGAUGCGAGCGUUAUCCGGAUUUAUUGGGUUUAAAGGGUGCGCAGGCGGGCUGUUAAGCCGGCGGUAAAAAUUCAGGGCUCAACCCUGUCGAGCCGUCGGAACUGGCAGUCUUGAGUGGGCGAGAAGUAUGCGGAAUGCGUGGUGUAGCGGUGAAAUGCAUAGAUAUCACGCAGAACGCCGAUUGCGAAGGCAGCAUACCGGCGCCCAACUGACGCUGAGGCACGAAAGCGUGGGGAUCGAACAGGAUUAGAUACCCCAGUAGUC